rnacentral:rRNA from 1 species
UAGGGAAUCUUCCGCAAUGCGCGAAAGCCUGACGGAGCAACGCCGCGUGAGUGAUGAAGGUCUUCGGAUCGUAAAACUCUGUUAUUAGGGAAGAACAAAUGUGUAAGUAACUAUGCACGUCUUGACGGUACCUAAUCAGAAAGCCACGGCUAACUACGUGCCAGCAGCCGCGGUAAUACGUAGGUGGCAAGCGUUAUCCGGAAUUAUUGGGCGUAAAGCGCGCGUAGGCGGUUUUUUAAGUCUGAUGUGAAAGCCCACGGCUCAACCGUGGAGGGUAAUUGGAAACUGGAAAACUUGAGUGCAGAGGAGGAAAGUGGAAUUCCAUGUGUAGCGGUGAAAUGCGCAGAGAUAUGGGGGAACACCAGUGGCGAAGGCGACUUUCUGGUCUGUAACUGACGCUGAUGUGCGAAAGCGUGAGGAUCAAACAGG